UACGAAGGGGGCUAGCGUUGCUCGGAAUCACUGGGCGUAAAGGGUGCGUAGGCGGGUCUUUAAGGCAGGGGUGAAAUCCUGGAGCUCAACUCCAGAACUGCCUUUGAUACUGAGGAUCUUGAGUUCGGGAGAGGUGAGUGGAACUGCGAGUGUAGAGGUGAAAUUCGUAGAUAUUCGCAAGAACACCAGUGGCGAAGGCGGCUCACUGGCCCGGUACUGACGCUGAGGUGCGAAAGCGUGGGGAGCAAACAGG
rnacentral:rRNA from 1 species